GAUGAACGCUGGCGGCGUGCCUAAUACAUGCAAGUCGAGCGAACGGACGAGAAGCUUGCUUCUCUGAUGUUAGCGGCGGACGGGUGAGUAACACGUGGAUAACCUACCUAUAAGACUGGGAUAACUUCGGGAAACCGGAGCUAAUACCGGAUAAUAUUUUGAACCGCAUGGUUCAAAAGUGAAAGACGGUCUUGCUGUCACUUAUAGAUGGAUCCGCGCUGCAUUAGCUAGUUGGUAAGGUAACGGCUUACCAAGGCAACGAUGCAUAGCCGACCUGAGAGGGUGAUCGGCCACACUGGAACUGAGACACGGUCCAGACUCCUACGGGAGGCAGCAGUAGGGAAUCUUCCGCAAUGGGCGAAAGCCUGACGGAGCAACGCCGCGUGAGUGAUGAAGGUCUUCGGAUCGUNAAACUCUGUUAUUAGGGAAGAACAUAUGUGUUAGUAACUGUGCACAUCUUGACGGUACCUAAUCAGAAAGCCACGGCCUACUACGUGCCAGCAGCCGCGGUAAUACGUAGGUGGCAAGCGUUAUCCGGAAUUAUUGGGCGUAAAGCGCGCGUAGGCGGUUUUUUAGUCUGAUGUGAAAGCCCACGGCUCAACCGUGGAGGGUCAUUGGAAACUGGAAAACUUGAGUGCAGAAGAGGAAAGUGGAAUUCCAUGUGUAGCGGUGAAAUGCGCAGAGAUAUGGAGGAACACCAGUGGCGAAGGCGACUUUCUGGUCUGUAACUGACGCUGAUGUGCGAAAGCGUGGGGAUCAAACAGGAUUAGAUACCCUGGUAGUCCACGCCGUAAACGAUGAGUGCUAAGUGUUAGGGGGUUUCCGCCCCUUAGUGCUGCAGCUAACGCAUUAAGCACUCCGCCUGGGGAGUACGACCGCAAGGUUGAAACUCAAAGGAAUUGACGGGGACCCGCACAAGCGGUGGAGCAUGUGGUUUAAUUCGAAGCAACGCGAAGAACCUUACCAAAUCUUGACAUCCUUUGACAACUCUAGAGAUAGAGCCUUCCCCUUCGGGGGACAAAGUGACAGGUGGUGCAUGGUUGUCGUCAGCUCGUGUCGUGAGAUGUUGGGUUAAGUCCCGCAACGAGCGCAACCCUUAAGCUUAGUUGCCAUCAUUAAGUUGGGCACUCUAAGUUGACUGCCGGUGACAAACCGGAGGAAGGUGGGGAUGACGUCAAAUCAUCAUGCCCCUUAUGAUUUGGGCUACACACGUGCUACAAUGGACAAUACAAAGGGCAGCGAAACCGCGAGGUCAAGCAAAUCCCAUAAAGUUGUUCUCAGUUCGGAUUGUAGUCUGCAACUCGACUACAUGAAGCUGGAAUCGCUAGUAAUCGUAGAUCAGCAUGCUACGGUGAAUACGUUCCCGGGUCU
rnacentral:rRNA from 1 species